UUACCCUUCCCUCGGCUUAAACCAAGCAAACCGAACCGUCCCUCCUCCAACGUCACGAAUCGCAAAAUCGUUCCCCGCGAAAACCCUUGCUAGGCGGCCCAGUUUCCCUGCUCUCUUUUCACCGGAAAUUCUUCCUCCUCCUAACGCGAUCCAAGGCCGAACGUCGACUUGCUUUGACUUCCUCCUCCACACGCCGAUCUACCCAAUCUUCCUUCCCUGACGAAACCUUAGGCCUUACCGCCGACCUCCCCUGUAGGUGUGUGAAAAUAACAAGAAACUAUAAACUUCGAGGAAAAAGACCAGGGCAACAUCAAAAGUAUGCAUUAGGCAUUAAAGAGGACAAAAAUAGAGGACAUUAGGAUGCUUGCUAGCAAAACUCUCACUGCCAGUCCCAAGUUUCAAGCCGAUUUAAGGCUAUUGCGCGUCGAAUGUUGAUCGGUUCGGCGCAUUUAAGCAUGAAAUCUGCACUUCUCCUCGAAGCAGAUGAUCCAACUCAAGUUUUCAUCAGAAAGUUUCCUGAAUUCAGGUGGAAAGAU